CUAAAGAAGAGGUUCUAAACGGACUCUGCUCUUCAGAAAGUUGUUGAUCUCCUGUUCAUCAUCCCUGAAUUCAAAUGGGUUUCUGAACAGUUGGAAAGAGUUUAAUAACGUUGCUUUCAGCCUGAAAGAAUAACCCCCCACCACAACAAAUACUUUUCCAAGGGGAUGGAACCAAUUCCAGAGGAAAAUAAAAAAGGUACAUCAAUGAUAAAAUAGGCUCUGAUGCAAUAGACCCAAAUUAUUCACUUUUUUAAAGAUGGAUGCAAAUAUGCUGAGAUAUUAAACAGGUG